rnacentral:rRNA from 1 species
AGUCGUGCGAGAAGGAGACUUCGGUCUCUGAGUAGAGCGGCGCACGGGUGAGUAACGCGUGGAUGAUCUACCCUUGAGUUCGGGAUAACGGUGCGAAAGCGCCGCUAAUACCGUAUAACAAUCCAUUUCAUCGUGGGUUCAAAGCAGGCCUCUUCAUGAAAGCUUGCGCUUGGGGAUGAGUCCGCGUCCCAUUAGCUUGUUGGCGGGGUAACGGCCCACCAAGGCUACGAUGGGUAGCUGGUCUGAGAGGAUGAUCAGCCACACUGGAACUGAAACACGGUCCAGACUCCUACGGGAGGCAGCAGUGGGGAAUAUUGCGCAAUGGGGGAAACCCUGACGCAGCGACGUCGUGUGAGGGAAGAAGGCCUUCGGGUCGUAAACCUCUGUCAGAAGGGAAGAACAUCCGGGAGUCGAACAGCCUCCCGGCCUGACGGUACCUUCAGAGGAAGCGCCGGCUAACUCCGUGCCAGCAGCCGCGGUAAUACGGAGGGCGCAAGCGUUAAUCGGAAUCACUGGGCGUAAAGCGUGCGUAGGCUGUUUGAUAAGUCAGACGUGAAAUCCCUCGGCUCAACCGGGGAACUGCGUUUGAUACUGUUGAACUAGAGUCCUGGAGAGGGUGGCGGAAUUCCUGGUGUAGGAGUGAAAUCCGUAGAUAUCAGGAGGAACACCGGUGGCGAAAGCGGCCACCUGGACAGGUACUGACGCU